rnacentral:rRNA from 1 species
CAGUCGCCGCGGGAAUACGUAGGGUGCGAGCGUUAAUCGGAAUUACUGGGCGUAAAGCGUGCGCAGGCGGUUCGUUAAGACAGAUGUGAAAUCCCCGGGCUUAACCUGGGAACUGCAUUUGUGACUGGCGAGCUAGAGUUUGGCAGAGGGGGGUAGAAUUCCACGUGUAGCAGUGAAAUGCGUAGAGAUGUGGAGGAAUACCGAUGGCGAAGGCAGCCCCCUGGGCCAAUACUGACGCUCAUGCACGAAAGCGUGGGGAGCAAACAGGAUUAGAUACCCGUGUAGUCCCUGUCUCUUAUAC